UAACCGCACCUAAGCAUUCCGCCUGGGGAGGUACGAUCCGCAAGAUUAAAACUCAAAGGAAUUGACGGGGGCCCCGCACAAGCGGUGGGAGCAUGUGGUUUAAUUCGAAGCAACGCCGAAGAAACCUUACCAGGCCUUUGACAUCCCGGUCGCGGUCUCCCCGAAAGGGAGACUUUCAGUUAGGCUGGACCGGUGACAGGUGCUGCAUGGCUGUCGUCAGCUCGUGUCGUGAGAUGUUGGGUUAAGUCCCGCAACGAGCGCAACCCUCGCCCUUAGUUGCCAUCAUUUAGUUGGGCACUCUAGGGGGACUGCCGGUGAUAAGCCGGAGGAAGGUGGGGAUGACGUCAAGUCCUCAUGGCCCUUACGGCCUGGGCUACACACGUGCUACAAUGGCAGUGACAAUGGGCAGCGAUGGCGCGAGCCUGAGCUAAUCUCAAAAAACUGUCUCAGUUCGGAUUGCACUCUGCAACUCGGGUGCAUGAAGUCGGAAUCGCUAGUAAUCGUGGAUCAGCAUGCCACGGUGAAUACGUUCCCGGGCCUUGUACACACCGCCCGUCACACCAUGGGAGUUGGUUUUACCGAAGGUGGUGCGCUAACCAG
rnacentral:rRNA from 1 species